GGCACUUUGGCGGAGUGGUUAACGCGAUGUAAGCCAUCCAACACAUGGGAAAAUGGGACCUUCACUAAUCCAAACAGGCCCUGCUAUUGUGUAAACAAAGCAAACAGGCAUUUCCUUCGGGAGCGUGUGUUCGAAUCACACAGGUGUCG